rnacentral:rRNA from 1 species
AUAUAGGACGUCCAACUUAACUUGGAGUCCGAACUCUCACUUUCUAACCCUGUGCACUUGUUUGGGAUAGUAACUCUCGCAAGAGAGCGAACUCCUAUUCACUUAUAAACACAAAGUCUAUGAAUGUAUUAAAUUUUAUAACAAAAUAAAACUUUCAACAACGGAUCUCUUGGCUCUCGCAUCGAUGAAGAACGCAGCGAAAUGCGAUAAGUAAUGUGAAUUGCAGAAUUCAGUGAAUCAUCGAAUCUUUGAACGCACCUUGCGCUCCAUGGUAUUCCGUGGAGCAUGCCUGUUUGAGUGUCAUGAAUACUUCAACCCUCCUCUUUCUUAAUGAUUGAAGAGGUGUUUGGUUUCUGAGCGCUGCUGGCCUUUACGGUCUAGCUCGUUCGUAAUGCAUUAGCAUCCGCAAUCGAACUUCGGAUUGACUUGGCGUAAUAGACUAUUCGCUGAGGAAUUCUAGUCUUCGGAUUAGAGCCGGGUUGGGUUAAAGGAAGCUUCUAAUCAGAAUGUCUACAUUUUAAGAUUAGAUCUCAAAUCAGGUAGGACUACCCGCUGAACUUAAGCAUAUCAAUAAGCGGAGGAAAAGAAACUAACAAGGAUUCCCCUAGUAGCGGCGAGCGAAGCGGGAAGAGCUCAAAUUUAUAAUCUGGCACCUUCGGUGUCCGAGUUGUAAUCUCUAGAAAUGUUUUCCGCGUUGGACCGCACACAAGUCUGUUGGAAUACAGCGGCAUAGUGGUGAGACCCCCGUAUAUGGUGCGGACGCCCAGCGCUUUGUGAUACAUUUUCGAAGAGUCGAGUUGUUUGGGAAUGCAGCUCAAAUUGGGUGGUAAAUUCCAUCUAAAGCUAAAUAUUGGCGAGAGACCGAUAGCGAACAAGUACCGUGAGGGAAAGAUGAAAAGCACUUUGGAAAGAGAGUUAACAGUACGUGAAAUUGUUGGAAGGGAAACGCUUGAAGUCAGACUUGCUUGCCGAGCAAUCGGUUUGCAGGCCAGCAUCAGUUUUCCGGGAUGGAUAAUGGUAGAGAGAAGGUAGCAGUUUCGGCUGUGUUAUAGCUCUCUGCUGGAUACAUCUUGGGGGACUGAGGAACGCAGUGUGCCUUUGGCGGGGGUUUCGACC